AUCAUCAUGUUGCUUCCAUGUCCU
rnacentral:siRNA from 1 species